GUCUUUUUGGAUUAAUUUAAGGUCUGGCCUGCCCAAUGAAAUUUAUUUAAUGGCCGCAGUAUUUUGACUGUGCAAAGGUAGCAUAAUCAUUAGUUUCUUAAUUAGUAACUGGAAUGAAAGGUUAGACGAAAAAAUUACUGUCUUAUUUUAAUUAUAAUAGAAUUUUAUUUUUAAGUAAAAAAGCUUAAAUGAAUUUAAAAGACGAGAAGACCCUAUAGAGUUUUAUAUAAAUAAAUUAUAAUAAAUAAGAAUUUUUAAUAGUGAUUUUUAUAUUUGAUUGGGGUGAUUAAAAAAUUUAAAGAACUUAUUUAAAAUAUAAACAAAAAUUUUUGAGCAAAUGAUCCACGUAAAUUCGUGAAUAUUAGAUUAAAUUACCUUAGGGAUAACAGCGUAAUUUUUUUAGAGAGUUCAAAUCGAUAAAAAAGAUUGCGACCUCGAUGUUGGAUUAAAAUAAAUUUUUGGUGAAGAAUUUAAAAGUGUUGGUCUGUUCGACCAUUAAAAUUUUACA
rnacentral:rRNA from 1 species